rnacentral:rRNA from 1 species
AUACGUAGGGGGCUAGCGUUGUCCGGAAUUACUGGGCGUAAAGGGCGUGUAGGCGGUCGUGCAAGUCGGUUGUGAAAGUCUAGGGCUCAACUCUAGGAUGCCGAUCGAAACUGCAUGGCUUGAGGGCAAGAGAGGGAAGCGGAAUUCCCGGUGUAGCGGUGAAAUGCAUAGAUAUCGGGAGGAACACCAGUGGCGAAGGCGGCUUCCUGGAUUGCACCUGACGCUGAGGCGCGAAAGCUGGGGGAGCGAACGGGAUUAGAUACCCCGGUAGUCCCAGCCGUAAACGAUGGAUGCUAGGUGUAGGAGGUAUCGACCCCUCCUGUGCCGCAGUUAACGCAUUAAGUAUUCCGCCUGGGGAGUACGGUCGCAAGAUUAAA